GACGACUGUUGACUGGCGGGCAGCUCCGACGACUGUUGACUGGCGGGCAGCUCCGACGACUGUUGACUGGCGGGCAGCUCCGACGACUGUUGACUGGCGGGCAGCUCCGACGACUGUUGACUGGCGGGCAGCUCCGACGACUGUUGACUCCUGAUGCGUGGGGCAGGUAUUGGACGUACCAGCCUGGAGACACGCACCUCCAUGCUAGUGUGUCUAGCGGGAAACACCGGACCGAAAGGGCGCACUGGCGGUCUUGAGUGCAGGGUUGGCAUCACCCCUUCCGGCUCGAUGCUCCCCUUGCCCUGGCACCUGCGGGGCGCUGGUACUGGGCGCACUGGGCUGUGCUUCCGUAUAGGCGAGAUGGUGCGCACCUCAGCGUAACAUGACGCCCUCCACCCCGUACGCACCUCCCUGUAGUCACGGGUAGCUGGCUUACGGCUCUUCCCUGGCCUGGCCAAACUACCCGUGUGCCCCCCCAAAAAAAAAUCUUGGGGCUGCCUCUCGGGUUCCCUUAGCUCCCUUAACUUGUCCGCCCAGAAUUUUCUCUCGUCCUGCCAGGUCCAUUCCUCCAUUUCCUUCUCCUGUGGCUUCCUCCUCUUCUGCUGCUUGGUCCUUUGGUGGUGGGUAGUUCUGUAACGGUUGUCUUCAUGAAUGGACCAAGGCGCAGCAGGUAUGUGAAUACUCAUGGUUAUUUUAUUACCAAAAAAAGAGUAAAGCAUCCACUUGAAAAAACAAUGACGGUGACAACAGUCGCAGUUUUACAGGCUAUACACGCAGUGUAAAAACAACUACCCACAAACCCAAGUGACAAACAUACUCCUACAUAUAUGACUCCCAAUCAGGAACAACGAUCCCCAGCUGUUCCUGAUUAGGAGUCACAAGACCAACACAGAACACAAGACUGCCACGUCCUGACCCCAAAACUACAACAACAGCUCCAUCUGCUGGUCAGGACGUGACACUGAGCCACUUGUGUGGGUUGUAGACUCCGUCUCAUGCUACCACUAGAGUGAAAGCACCGCCAUCAUUCAAAAGUGACCAAAACAUCAGCCAGGAAGCAUAGGAACUGAGAAGUGGUCUGUGGUCUCCACCUGCAGAACCACUCUUUUAUUGGGGGUGUCUUGCUUAUUGCCUAUAAUUUCCACCUGUUGUCUAUUCCAUUUGCACAACAGCAUGUGAAAUUUUUUGUCAAUCAGUGUUGCUUCCUAAGUGGACAGUUUGAUUUCACAGAAGUGUGAUUGACUUGGAGUUACAUUGUGUUGUUUAAGUGUUCCCUUUAUUUUUUUGAGCAGUAUAUAUAAAAAAAAACAUAUCCUCAAUAUAUUUGUAUUUUAUUUAUUUAACCAUUAUUUAACUACCGUAAAUUCCGGACUAUAAGCCGCAACUUUUUCCCCACGCUUUGAACCUCGCGGCUUAAACAAUGACACGGCUAAUAUAUGGAUUUUUCCCGCUUUCAAUUUUUUUUUCUCCAAAAAAACACAUUCUGUGACGUGCUCAGUUUUUUGGCGGCAUGAAGCUUUCAUUAGACCAAUGAAAUUGCCGAACGGGUUAAGGUCAAACAGUGACGAGAGCGACAAUGAAAACGAUCCAAUAUCGGAUGAAGCAAUUCUGAGGCUAUUCAACUCCGACACCGAAGGAGAUGACUUCAGUGGUUUUAGUGCACAGGAGGAGAAAGAUAGUGACCAAUGACUUUCUUGGUAGGCUACUGUUUACUGCUAAUUUUUUAUUUUUUGUUACAAGCCGUGUUUCGUUAAAGCCUAUUUAUUUUUGUUACAAGCCGUGCUUCGUUAAAGCCUAUUUAUUUUUGUUACAAGCCGUGUUUCGUUAAAGCCUGUGUAAAGUUAAUUUGUUUCAAUGUACCAGUAGGCACCUGCGGCUUAUAGACAUGUGCGGCUUAUUUAUGUUCAAAAUAAUACUUUUUAAAAAAUUCAGUAGGUGCGGCUUAUAUUCAGGUGCGCUCAAUAGUCCGGAAAUUACGGUAGGCAAGUCAGUUAAAAACACAUUUUUAUUUACAAUGGCGGCUUACCAAAAGGCAGAAGGCCUCCUGCGGGGACCGGGGCUGGGAUUAAAAAUUUAAAUAUAGAACAAAACACACAUCACGACAACAGAGACACCACAACACUACAUGAAGAGAGACCUAAGACAACAACAUAAAAUGGCAGCAACAUAUGACAACACAUGAAAACACAGCAUGGUAGCAACACCACAUGACAACAACAUUAAACGCAACACAACAUGGCAGCAGCACAAUAUGGUAGCAGCACAAAACAUGGUACAAACAUUAUUGGGCACAGACAACAGCACAAAGGCAAGAAGGUACAGACAACAAUACAUCACACGAAGCAGCCCCAACUGUCAGUAAGAGUGUCCAUGAUUGAGUCUUUGAAUGAAGAGAUGGAGAAAACAACUGCCCAGUUUGAGUGUUUGUUGCAGCUCGUUCAAAUUGCUAGCUGCAGCGAACUGAAAAGAGGAGCGACCCAGGGAUGUGUGUGCUUUGGGGACCUUUAACAGAAUGUGACUGGUAGAUCGGGUGUUGUUUGUGGAGGAUGAGGGCUGCAGUAGGUAUCUCAGAUAAGGGGGAGUGAGGCCUAAGAGGGUUUUAUAAAUAAGCAUCAACCAGUGGGUCUUGCGACGGGUAUACAGAGACGACCAGUUUACAGAGGAGUAUAGAGUGCAGUGAUGUGUCCCAAAGGAGUAUUGGUGGCAAAUCUGAUGGCCGAAUGGUAAAGAACAUCUAGCUGCUUGAGAGCACCCUUACCUGCCGAUCUAUAAAUUGCGUCUCCGUAAUCUAGGAUGGUCAUCUGAAUCAGCUUGAUCUCCCCCUUUCAAUGAAGGAUGCACCGUGGCUGCCUUCCAAGCAAUGGGAACCUCCCCAGAGAGGAGAGACAGGUUAAAAAGGUCAAAGUACUCCCACCAGAUAAAGUAUUUCCACCUCAGUAGUCAAAAGUAAAUAAAGACGAAAGAAAAUGAUAGAACCUAAUUAGAGUCUGGGACAAACUGAACACUAAGGCCUUACACACACACACAUUCUUUUCAGGAAACCCAAACGACUCUUUGUCAGAAUCCUGGGAUGCUUCAAGAAUUCUGGAAAGUUUGGAAAAGCAUAGGUCGUAACAUUAAUAGUGCGAGAAGCAAAACAAAAAACACACAGUUUACAUAACAUAACACCAAUAUCACACUAUCACCAAUAGCAACAACAACAGUGUCACAUCAAAAGUGACAGGCUUGUGGUGCUGAAAUGACAGCCGACCGUAAAAGCCAAUUUAUGCUUGAUCCAUAAAUGUGGUCGGAGGCUCCGUAUGGAGGGUGUGAUGCAAUUGCAGAGCCUCCGGAGGCAUGCAGAGGCCAAAUUGAGGUCUGUCACACAUCGCUGUGCGCCUCUCACAUUUUGUAACAAUGCAGAUGGCUCCGUUUAGCUCUGUAAAGCUCAGCAAUGACAUGAUUGGUUGACGAUAGGUGGAGGCGGUACAUCCUGUAUUAACACAAACUCACUUCCUUCAGAACAAACAUGGAGAAUUUUUACGAAAGGCUAUCAGACGAAGUUCGCAAAUAUAAACAUCUUUAUGAUACCAAGUGUAGGGAUUUCAAAGACAAUAGUUUAGUUUCAACAACUGGAAAGAGAUCAGGGAGGUAAUGGGGAUGGAAGGGGGAAGCUUGCUACAAGAAGUGGAGGCAGUUGGUUAAGAUUUUUUUUAAAUGAAGGGUCGAAGUGGAGAUGCAGGUGGGAAAACGGUGCCGCCUUUUUACUUCAUGCUAUCAUGGCUGAGCUCCUAUGUCAAUCACCGGGGAACCGACUCCAACAUAUCAGAAGAGCCCGUGAUGCCCUGGUAUUGCAGAGUCGCCCUGGAUCCUGAAGGUUGACAUCACACAUCACCUGCCUUCUCCGCUCUCCUGGCUGUUGUUGUUCACCAGAUGCCGUGGUGGAAUCUGUGAAGUUGGGAGGGAUGUAACUGGCAGUUGAGGUGUUGGCAGCAUCGGUUUAUGACAAGUAGUUGUAAAGGGCGAUGCAUGCCUUUACAACGUCCACCGCCUUGUCGGGAUGGAACUCAAUUGGCCAGCAAAGGAUCCUCCACCUGGCAGUCAAGAUGCCAAAGAGUUCUCAAUGAUGCGUUGUGCACAGCAAUGAUGGUAGUUGUACAUUUUCUGUUCUUUAUCAAGGUUGGUACCUGUAAAUUGAGUAAAAAGACAAAUACAAGCCAUUGGUUUUCAUUGGCAUGACAAUUGUGGUACUAAAUAUUACAAGAGAUAAAUACAGGUAGAGGUGGUGCUGAACAUACCAAAGGCAUUAAACAUUACUGAUGCUGGACCAAGAAAAGAAUGUAAAUAUAAAAGCAUUCAUUCACACAAUGUUGUGUUUUUGUGUGCGCUACAAUAAACAACUCCUUGGCUACAAUUGUCA
rnacentral:lncRNA from 1 species